rnacentral:rRNA from 1 species
AUUGAACGCUGGCGGCAUGCCUUACACAUGCAAGUCGAACGGCAGCACGGGAGCUUGCUCCUGGUGGCGAGUGGCGAACGGGUGAGUAAUACAUCGGAACGUACCCUGAAGUGGGGGAUAACGUAGCGAAAGUUACGCUAAUACCGCAUAUUCUGUGAGCAGGAAAGAGGGGGAUCGCAAGACCUCUUGCUUUAGGAGCGGCCGAUGUCGGAUUAGCUAGUUGGUGAGGUAAAGGCUCACCAAGGCGACGAUCCGUAGCGGGUCUGAGAGGAUGAUCCGCCACACUGGGACUGAGACACGGCCCAGACUCCUACGGGAGGCAGCAGUGGGGGAAUUUUGGACAAUGGGCGCAAGCCUGAUCCAGCCAUGCCGCGUGAGUGAAGAAGGCCUGG